CCUACGGGAGGCAGCAGUGGGGAAUAUUGCACAAUGGGCGCAAGCCUGAUGCAGCCAUGCCGCGUGUGUGAAGAAGGCCUUCGGGUUGUAAAGCACUUUCAGCGGGGAGGAAGGCGGUGAGGUUAAUAACCUCAUCGAUUGACGUUACCCGCAGAAGAAGCACCGGCUAACUCCGUGCCAGCAGCCGCGGUAAUACGGAGGGUGCAAGCGUUAAUCGGAAUUACUGGGCGUAAAGCGCACGCAGGCGGUCUGUCAAGUCGGAUGUGAAAUCCCCGGGCUCAAUCUGGGAACUGCAUUCGAAACUGGCAGGCUAGAGUCUUGUAGAGGGGGGUAGAAUUCCAGGUGUAGCGGUGAAAUGCGUAGAGAUCUGGAGGAAUACCGGUGGCGAAGGCGGCCCCCUGGACAAAGACUGACGCUCAGGUGCGAAAGCGUGGGGAGCAAACAGGAUUAGAUACCCUUGUAGUC
rnacentral:rRNA from 1 species